UCAGAGCUGUGGACGCUGGCCCUCACUAGGUCUGACACAUCCUUCCAUGAUGCCAGUUGUCAAGGAAAUGACCUCCUUCAGGACCCUCCUGUGGUACUGCUGGACUGUCGUUAUCGGAGAGGAGGUGACCCCUGUGAAAGGAUCAGUUGACCCCUUUGAGGGGGUCACACGACCCACAGUUUGAGAACCACUGCUCUACCAGGAUCAGUCCUUCCUCCAGCCUCUGGCUGACUCUCAGCUCUCUACGCAUCACCCAGUCAUAGAGCACACAUCUCCUACCGCACAGCCUCAGUCUGGGGAGUGAAGGAGCCAAUCCUGGCUUUCGUGGGAUUCUCGGGGCAGCGGAAGACUGAGACAACUGAACCCACAGUCACAGUGCAGAGAUGUGCUAUCAGAAGGGCUUUGCUGAGAGGAGAAGGUGGCUGUGACAGAACGGCAGCCCUGUAAGGAUGCUGUGAGAGACCCUCCCGGAGGCUCCACUGCGUUGUGGGACACGGAAGUUUCCAUGGGAAGUACCGAUCUCGCCCUGCCCACUUGGUUUCACGCUGCAUACUGUGCUGAGGACGGAGCUGGCAUUUCAGCGUGAACACUAAGUGGUGACUCAGAACCAACAGAAGUGUGGACCGCUGUUUACUCAAAAGGAAGCCUCUGGUGUGACAAACGAGAGUGGGCUGCAACAUUGUGCAGGACUCAUGAGCCAAGCGGCUUGGAAAUAGCACAUACCACCGCGGCAGGUGAUUCAUCUCUCGUUCGAUCUUCUCAGGCAGGGCAUCAGACGCCAGCCCAGGCAGACCCAGAGCCGGCCGGGGGGAUGCUCGGUGCCUAAGUACUGUGGACAUCCUUAGUUUCCUAUGACACUGCCACUGACUUUGACGGUUCUGUGCGAGCGUAACACUUUCAGUCUAAUUAACCAUGUUGAACCAACCCGACCACCCCCCCCCGUGCCCCCCACACAGAGUGAAAAUUGUAAAGUUCAAAGGUCACACGUGAAUUUUCAGCUCACCAGAAGGUCCCUUAAUCUUUUUCUUGGAAUAUUUAAGGAAGAAAAAAAUAUAUUGAAAUCGAUCCGGUAGAAGGGAGCAAAGGGGUACGGGUAAUAAGGUAGUGUCUCAGGCCUCGAGCUAGCUCAGCUUCAGAGAUGGCCCAAACUUCCUCUGUAGGCCAGAGGCGACAGAGAUACUCAGUACAAAGAUCAGGAUUUGAAGCCUGUCCCUGGCACAGAUGGCAGGGGCAGCUCUGACUGGAUCCAAAUCUUUCCUAGUUAAUGCUUCCGGUCCCCCAAGUAGAGGCCAUAGUACUGCCCACCCCCCGCAGAGGCUGUGAAGCUCACAGCAUGGGCAUGAAACAGUGCUACUGUGGGUUGCACAGUAGGUACCCAACAAAUGACAGCCGAUUCUAUGAGGAUCAGGAAUCCAGCAAUGCUGGAUGUUGGGAAAGGCACUCAGCAUGACACUGCAAGGGACAUCUGAAGCUGCACUUGAAGGUGUCAGGGGCUUUUCCACCUCCACAUUGUUCUGUGGUUCUCAGACCUGUGAGGAACAGCCCUGUCUGCAGAGGAGAAAACUGAUGGAAUGAGGCUUGAGAACAUUUAGACACAGGUCUGCUUCCACACUCAUUGAGGUUGCUUCCUGCUGGGUAACAAAGUGCUUCCCCUCAGAAGAACCAGAGGUCGGUCUGCCGUCUGGAACUGGCUCGGAGGGCUCUCAGGAGACUGAUAUGUCUUCAACCCCAUCAUCCUCUCUACCAAGGGUUAUUCAGCAGUUACUAGUUGCAAUGGAUUCAUUCCUCCUUCCUCUUCCUCCCUCCCUUCUUUCCAACCUUCUUCCCUUCCUCCCUCCUUUCCUGUUUGGGGAAGAAGCACAGAAGAAGAAAGCCCAAAUGAAGGCUUACAGCAAUCACUGAUGGAGGAGAGAAAGCUUUCUAACCUGUCCUUCACUAUUUCUGACUAUUGUGUAAUAGGAGCUUUGUCUAACAUCCCUCAAAGGACUAUCAGGAAAUGGCACGCUGUGGCUAAUGUGUGUGCAGGGGAACCCUGGAGAAGGCUUCGAAGAAGGGAGUGCUUAGAAGAGGUAUCUUGACUACCCCGGACUCACCGGACACCAGGAGAUUGACAAAUGCGUCCUCAAGAACUGCGCAUACUAGGACAGAACACUGGAUGGGUACUGAAUGUACCCAGUGAAGUUAUAAGACUGGCUCGCUAAGCUGGAUAAGAGACGCAAAUAUUGAAUUAAUAGUCUAGGCAUACAUGCACAUGCUCACGCACAUGCACACACUCAUAAGUAGCAGUAGUAUCCUUCUGUCCCACCAGUGAGACCUCAUACAAUGCUACGGGGUAGCUGUCCGAGACCAUGAGUCCCUGAACAGAGAGGCCUAGGGCCAGCCACACCCAGCUUCCCUGGGAAGCCGUUUCCAUCUUAAGCUCCAACCCUUCAGCAUGACAUAACCUUUCUAUGGUGAAGAAAAAAAAAAAAGGCGAGCCUCAAGGGAAGUCCCUUGGCUUUCUGCAUGAGACUAAAUAAAGUCUGUGCUGGAAAACAUGAAGUAUCAUAAAGUGUCUCACAGUGCUAAAACUUUUCCCUCUGCCAUCUUUUGGGGGGAGUUGUUAAAAUGUCCUCCAGUUUCCAAGGAGGCAGGGUCUAGUGGCCCCAUUUACUGGACCAGAUAUUGCGCUCCCAGGGCUCUGAGUUGCCGAGGGCAAAGGGUUAGUCAGCUUCACCUUGCAGAGUUUUAGUAACGCGUUGGCAGCUGAUGCAGCUAUUUUACACACAUGGGGAGCCCAGAGUAUCCUCUGAGAGUGGAUUCGGGCAGCAGCUUAGUCCUCAUUCCCAAGCUGUUGAGACAUCCCAGUUUCCCUGGCUGAGGCAUAAAGCCUGAAGUGUGUGCACUCCUCAUUCUGGUUUAUUGGCCCCGGGGAGCCCCAUAUGCGCGGGUUCAGAACCCACCUCAGCGCCAUCAGCUUCCUGGGAAGUUAUUACCACUUACUUAUAUCAGGCUGCUUCCAAGAGUUCUCUCCCUGGAGAAAUGGAUCAGAUCACCCCUUUCUCCUUCUGAAACAUACUUCUUAGUUUUACAUCUCCUGUAUGCAACCUUUUCCUUCUUUCCCAUAAUUUAAAAUCCAUCCUGCCUCCCAGCGCCCUCCCCCGCCCCCGCAAACCCACCCGGGCUUGAGAACCACAAUUCACAGUAACAAUGACACAUCAUCUGAAGGCAACCAAUUGGCGUGGGCUUAGUGUCCCAGAGAACCCUGGGAACUCUUUCUCCAUACCGGCAUUGACCAAUAAUACCAUGUUUACCAUGAGUCAGGUGGCAGCGCUCUACAAACACAUCUCAUCCGAGUUUCAAAAUUGAAUUUUUGUAAGGCGCCUAAGUCAGAGUAUUGCCUAAGACCAAGAAACAUCAAGUAGGUUGUUCGCGGUCACUGCGCUAACAAUCAGCGGAUCUGGGGCUAUGACACCGGACCGCUCCCAGGGCUGGGAGGUGGGGCAGCCGCCACUGUUACAGGUCUAUCUACAAACCAGAAAGGCAAAAUGUGAUUUAUAUUCCCUAAGCUUGCAUCAUCCACCUUUGGGAAAGGAAGCAGACUCAAAAUGCUUGAGAAAGAGAUUCAUCUGGAUGGUGUUCAUGCUCAGAGAGUCAGACACAGCUGGGAGGAGAGUGUGCGGAUGCAUCAGGAACGCUCAAAGGAAAAAGAAAACCAGGUUUCUGAAGGGAUUGAACUGACUUUCUGUGCCAAGGGAGAAAGUCCUGACUGUGAGCCAGGAUAGGAGAAAAGGUGUGGAGGGUCAGUCCAGUCUUCCAGUGUUUGAAGAUCAACAAGAGGAAAGGCUCGUUUUCCCAUCAAAUGGACUCCUCAUUAAACUGUGUGAGACAUUUACAAUUACGCAAUGUAAAUAAUAUUACCUUUGAAUAUUAAGAUGCAGAAAUCUGAAGCAAUCAAAUAUAUUCUAAACCCUCUGAAAUAAUUAACAUCAGCUCUGUAGGAGAGACAUCUCUAAAAAUA